UACGGGGGGAGCAAGCGUUGUUCGGAUUUACUGGGCGUAAAGGGCGCGUAGGCGGUCGUGACAAGUCACUUGUGAAAUCUCCGGGCUUAACUCGGAACGGUCAAGUGAUACUGUCGGACUAGAGUACAGAAGGGGCAACUGGAAUUCUCGGUGUAGCGGUGAAAUGCGUAGAUAUCGAGAGGAACACCUGCGGCGAAGGCGGGUAGCUGGGCCGACACGUGACGCUGAGGCGCGAAAGCCAGGGGAGCGAACGGGAUUAGA
rnacentral:rRNA from 1 species